rnacentral:lncRNA from 1 species
UCUCAAAUAAAUGAAUGAAUGAAUGGAUGAAUGUGAUGUGAAAGGCUUAAACCCAUAACUAUUAUUCAAGAAGAAAAACUACUCAUUGGUUGGGGCAGUGGUUCACGCCUGUAAUCCCAGCACUUUGGGUGGCUGAGGCAGGUGGAUCAAGAGGUCAGGAGUUCGAGACUGGAAAAAGUAAAGAAAAAGUACUCAUUAAAACUAAAAACCAUAAAAUUCUAUCUUCCACAAAAACAAAUCAACCUUAUCUACAGCGCAGGCCUACCCAACUAUGGAAUGAUGGAACAGAAGGCCUCACCAUGGACUCGAGAGCUGACAUGAGGAAUGUCACCACCAUCCUGCUCUCCGAGGACUCCUCAUCUUCAACGGGCAGGGUGGACAUUGCAACUUGGGCCAUGAUCCCUGUGCAGGAGAAGUAAGAAGAAAGUGAGUGGUAGAAAUCUGGUGUCCUGAACCCACAGCCAAAGCUGUGAGGGCCCCUCACGGGCUGCCUAAUUUACAGUUUUCUUGCUCUAGAGACAAAAUAAGGCUCAGAAACUAAGUAUUUGACUUGCCCCACACCCUCAUAAGAUAAAGAAUCUAUCCCCUAACUUUCUAUAUAUUGUUAUUUCCAGAAAAUUGGGUCAAUAUCACACCCCAAAUAAAUCCAGGUGGCACCCAGAAUCAGUGAAAUUUCUCCCAAGUAAGAACAAGACGAGGCAAGGCACUUUACAGCCCAGUGACGGGCAACCACAACUCAACACAGGACAGAGAUGCUAAGCCCUCUUCUCCCCUGAACAUCCUGACACACAAAAGAGUGGGUGCAGUGGACUGAGGCUGAAUGGAGAGAAGUUUCUCCUUUUACUAAGAAAAUAGAUCACAGGCAUCAAGUAACAUGUAAGAUUCUUUAUAAUACAGCAUAUUCUGGCCAGGCACUUUGGCUCACGCCUAUCAUCCCAGCACUUUGGGAGGCUGAGGCAGGAGAAUUGCUUGAACCCAGGAGGCGGAGGCUGCAGUGAGCGGAGAUCGCACCACUGCACUCCAGUCUGGGUGACAAGAGCAAAACUCCGUCUCAAAAANNNNNNNNNNGAACUCCCGACCUCAGGUGAUCCACCUGCCUCGGCCUCCCAAAGAGCUGGGAUUAGA